rnacentral:lncRNA from 1 species
CUUCUUCUUGCCUUUGAAUGGAAGUCAUAGCUCUCGUCUGUGCUACCUGUUGGGGAGAAAAUGGUCAUGAAUUCUUACUUAAUUCUUCUUCACUGCAAGAUUGUCACUCUACAACAAAGCAUCAUGGCAAAAAAGCUAAGUAACUAGAGAAAAAGUCAUUCCCUUUUGCCUAUGACUAGAGAGGCAACAUGGUACCACGGACAGAACACUGGUUGUCCGUCAUAGCCCACUGUACUCCGCAGGGAGGUGGAGGCCACACCUGAGGUUUUGUUACCAGCCAGCUGUGUUUCACUGGGCAAGUCACUGAAUCCUGGUGGCCCAAAUUUUUAGACAUGAAACAAUAAUAAUACCUUCUCUGCCUUCCUUAAUUUGUUAUAAGAUUAAAAUGAGAUGGCAUAUGAAAAUUCUCUGUAAAAUACAAAGCACUUAAGAAAACUCCAAGCUCUGGUGGUGUUACUGAUUCCAACCUUCAAUGGCCUUUAUUGUCUCUCUUACUCAUUUAGUACCUCAUGAGAUACUGAUAUAAUUAGGAUGAGCAACUCAUUCCAAUUUGCCAGGAACUGUCUUGAUUUUCACAAUCACAAUGCAGAAAGCCCUGCUUUCUGGAGACCCUGCAAUCCCCAGCAAAUCAGAGUUUUUUGUUGCCCUAGCAAUAAUGAAGUUACUUGAUAAUAAGGAUGCUGGCUGGUGCUAACAUCUUCUUCCACCAUCCUCUCCAUGGGAAAGACACCAACAAGUUGUUCCCAUAUGUCUGGGCUGUAAGCAAAGAGGUCUUUGGAAAAAAGCAUGUGGGGGACUGGAGAGAACGGAGAUGGAAUCCUGCAAAGGACAAAGCAGUGUAGCUAAUACAGCCCUUUAUCUUCUCCAUUAAAUGGUCAUGCAAAUAAGGGCUCAAGUGAGUCAACCUUCUUGAAACUGAUAUGACUUCCUGGAUGGGCUCAAGAAAACAUAAUGUGUGUAAGCUUGAGUUGAAACCCUUAAAUAAAGCACUAAGUUGAAAAGAUAUAUUUAACUUC